rnacentral:lncRNA from 1 species
CUGCAGGAAGCUGAGGCCAUUUCACAUCUUCUGGUGGGGCCUCAGGCCCAAGCUGUUCUCUCAGAGGAACCUUGGUCUGUCCUGGUCUCAUCCUAGGUGGUGGCCUCUGCACUGUGGGACUGCAGUAGGCACAGUACUGGGGUUUGAGGACAGUCACAACCUCCGGAUUUGACAUCAUCUUUGGCUUCAGAAGACAAGAAACCGAGCUCGAUGCAAGAAGUAGCUGGAGCCCCAGCCCUGAGGUCCCUGCCACUGCCUACUUAGCUCCUCACUCCUGGGCUUGAGGGUCCCAGGCUGGGGAGGACAGAGGGCUUGCCCCAUUUCCAGGUCUUCCUGCACAGGCCGACAGGGGCCACCACCCAUC